ensembl:lncRNA
AUGAGGCCCCGGAAACAACAGAUGCCGGAAGCGGUCACCACCUCUAGGACUGGCGGGCUGAUGGUGGAGGGACCGGGUCAACAGAAGGCAGGGAGCGCUGGGGCGGGGAGGGGGCUGCGGCCACCCAUGAGACGGCCUGGUCCCUUCCAUCUCCUGCUGGUGUCUCCCCUUAGCAGAAAAUUCAGGAAGCCCCGGGACAGAGGGGCCUCGGUGAGGCUGCCCUGUAGAUGCCCCCAACCACACGGCAGAGGAGGGCAGAAGACGAAGGGGCGGGGGACACAGAGAAAGGAAGCAACAGAGACCAGAUCAGUUUCCAGACUGGCUGUGUUUACAUCGUCGUGGGACAUCAGGCCCCUGGUUGCCUCUGUGGACACGAGUCUGCUAAAGAUUCCUGGCUCUCAGAUUGAUCAAGUAAUCAGUUCCCCGAUGAAAACUCCAAGCCUCAAGACUAUGCCUCCAGUUGCUGGUAUCUUCAAGGCAGUGGUUUUCAAAUGGGAGUGAUAUUUGUUCCCUAGGAAUGCCAGCCUGGAGUGAUUAUGUUCCUACAGGAUAUCCGGAACAUCAUCCAUCACAGCACUUUUCAGAAGCGCUCACCAGAGGCAAGGCUGUGGGUGGCCCUGGCCCCACACCUACUCACUGGCAAAGCAAAAAUAAACACACACAAAAAUCCA